UACGGAGGGGGCUAGCGUUGUUCGGAAUUACUGGGCGUAAAGCGUACGUAGGCGGCUUUGUAAGUUAGAGGUGAAAGCCUGAUGCUCAACAUCAGAAUUGCCUUUAAGACUGCAUCGCUUGAAUCGUGGAGAGGUGAGUGGAAUUCCGAGUGUAGAGGUGAAAUUCGUAGAUAUUCGGAAGAGCACCAGUGGCGAAGGCGGCUCACUGGACACGUAUUGACGCUGAGGUACGAAAGCUAGGGGAGCAAACGGG
rnacentral:rRNA from 1 species